CUGGGUCUCAGCCCCGCGUACGGCCUUUCACGAGUCUUCAAGCCUUCAGGCUUUCUUCUAGUCAAGAUGAGUGAUAAACCAGACUUGUCGGAAGUGGAGAAGUUUGACAGGUCAAAACUGAAGAAAACUAAUACUGAAGAAAAAAAUACUCUUCCCUCAAAGGAAAAAGGAGUCUCGCUCUGUCGCCAGGCUGGAGUGCAGCGACACGAUUUCGGCUCACUGCAAACUUCGCUUCCCGAGUUCAAGCAGUUCUCCUGCCUCAGCCUCCCGAGUAGCUGGGACCUCAGGCACAUCACCAAGCCAGGCUAAAUUUGGUAUUUUUAGUAAAGAUGGGGUUUCGCCAUGUUGGCCAGGAUGGUCUCGAUCUCUUGACCUCCUGAUCCGCCCACCUCGGCCUCCCAAAGUGCUGGGAUUACAGGCGUGAGCCACCACGCCCGGCACCUAGUUUUCUUAAUUGGUCACUGUCAUUUUCUUAAACUUGUGAACAAAUGAGAACCUAAAAGAGCCAAUCUUUCAAGAUGGAUCCCAGUGGCUAACUGAGCUUAAAUUUAAAAUAGAGCCAAGCUGCCACGUGUUGACUAGAGCUAACACGUGUACUACAAAUUCCCCGAAAACCCACACCUCUAUCUAACUUUGGAACUUUCAGAGCUCACCUGAAGCAACCAACCAGAGCUCACCUGUCGCUGCCAAUAAGGGCUCAGCUGUAUUGACCAACCAGAGCUCAACUGAGUCAACCAAUCAGAACUAAGUUUGAAUUGUUUAUUUGCAUAAAUUGACUGUACUGGGAACCUCGAUAGGAACUUUCUCUAUAAAAGCCAUAUCCUCUCUUUGUUCUCUGGAACUGCACUUUUGUUUUACACUGAAGUCUGCACCUCCCUGGUUUGCAAACUGUACACAGGAAUAGCCUCUUUCCUCCAAAUUCCUUUACAAAGAAUUUUUCUUCACAAUAUGAUGCGAGAGGUAGAAGACAUGCUUACAGCUGUGGAUUCAUAUCCUGAAAUCACCACGAUUACAAUAAAACGAAAAAUCAAACAAAGAAAUAAAAAGUAGACAAAAACCUCAAACUAAUUUUCUCUUCAAUUUACAAGGCUGAACAGCUAGGAGGAGACUUAUUGAUUCAGGACAGUUCACCUGCUCACAUUUUGAGCCAAUGGCUGAGGCCCAGGACUGGAGAUACUUCAUUAGUUUAGCCAGUGGAGAGUGGGGUUUGGAUGCUCUCAUUGGAUACUUCUAUCAUAAGUGAUGCAUACUCAUAGGGGUUAAGCUUUGCAUUAAAAAAGAUUGUAGACUGGGAAAUAAUAUAAUUAGACAAAUGUGAAUGACUUAGAGCAGUUAUUUCAGUUUCUAGGAAGCUUAAAAAGGGUUCAUUGAUUUAUUUGACUCAGCUAUUUCUGCACUGUGGGUUUUUGUUAUGUGUUUAAAUGAAUUCUAUAACAGAGGUAAUGUUGAAAAAAGAUUGUAUGAGGUCUGCUUGUUCCAUUAGUAAUGUUUGUCCCAGUUCGAUCCUUCUGAAUUUUUAUUUAUAGCAGUAAACUGUUUCCCUGUGUGUGCGUGUGUGUGUGUGUGUGUGGGUGGGUGUGUGUAAUGUAAUUUAAUUACUAGUAUUUCAGGUAUGAGUUUUGUAACCACAUUUAUAAAUGAGCUGCUCAUAUAUAUACAUAUACAUAUAUAUAUAUGUAUAUAUAUAUAUAUAUAUAUUUAGUAUGCUUCCUUCAAUGGGUAUCAACAUCAUAUUAUAUUUUCUUGAAAUAAGUUUUGUCGGCUGGGCGCAGUAGCUCAUGCCUGUAAUCCCAGCUCCUUGGGAGGCCGAGGCAGGAGGAUCGCUUGAGUCCAGGAGUUCUACACCAGUCUGGGGAAACAUGAUGAAACCACAUCUCUACAAAAAAAAAAAUAUGAAAACUAGCCGGGCGUGGUGGUGCGCGCUUCUAGUCCCAGCUACUCGGGAAGCUGAGGCAGGGAAAUCACUUGAACCCAGGAGGCAGAGGUUGCAGUGAGCUGAGAUCGCACCACUGCACUCCAGCCUGGGCGACAGAGCGAGACUCUGUCUCAAAAAAAGAAAAAGUUUUCUCUCUUUAAACCUGGAACCAUCUUACUAGCAAUAAAUGACCUGAUCUUAAAAGUCUGACAGGAAACAGCAUUGGAAUUUGGGAUGGUACCUUCUUGGUGAUUGCUAUUUCUUUAAUUCUUCUUAAUCGCUAAAUCCUUGUUUGGUUCAGUUUCUGGG
rnacentral:lncRNA from 1 species